rnacentral:rRNA from 1 species
AUGGAGGAUACUUGGGCUUGGAAUUAUGAGCAAAAUGGCAGAUUUAUUGUUUGGUCGGCGUACCGGAUGUUAGCAGAUACAAAGAGAAGGAGUGAGGACUGGUUGGAAAACAACCCAGGGCGAUCAAAUUACGAAGAAGAGGCGAAGGCUUGGACUUCGCUGUGGUCUGUUCAAGCUCUUGGUAAAAUCCGAAGUUUUCUUUUGGAGAUUAGCCAAAUGUUCUAUCCCAAUAGAGGACGUACGCCAAACCGAACAUGGCAGACGAUGAAAAGUGUCAACUUUGCGGUGCACAUGAUUCAUGGUGCCACUCCCUUUUGUAGUGGUCAAUGUCAAGGUGUGUAUGGGCUCUAG